rnacentral:rRNA from 1 species
GACGAACGCUGACGGCGUGCCUAAUACAUGCAAGUCGAGCGAAGUUUUUCUGGUGCUUGCACUAGAAAAACUUAGCGGCGAACGGGUGAGUAACACGUAAAGAACCUGCCUCAUAGACUGGGACAACUAUUGGAAACGAUAGCUAAUACCGGAUAACAGUAUUUCUCGCAUGAGAGAUAUUUAAAAGUUGGUUAUGCUAACACUAUGAGAUGGCUUUGCGGUGCAUUAGCUAGUUGGUGGGGUAAAGGCCCACCAAGGCGACGAUGCAUAGCCGACCUGAGAGGGUGAUCGGCCACACUGGGACUGAGACACGGCCCAGACUCCUACGGGAGGCAGCAGUAGGGAAUCUUCCGCAAUGGGCGAAAGCCUGACGGAGCAACGCCGCGUGAGUGAAGAAGGAUUUCGGUUCGUAAAGCUCUGUUGUUAGGGAAGAAUGGAUAUGUAGUAACUAUACACGUAAGAGACGGUACCUAACCAGAAAGCCACGGCUAACUACGUG